rnacentral:rRNA from 1 species
GCGGAGGAAAAGAAACCAACAGGGAUUGCCUCAGUAACGGCGAGUGAAGCGGCAACAGCUCAAAUUUGAAAUCUGGCUCUCGGGCCCGAGUUGUAAUUUGCAGAGGAUGCUUUUGGCGCGGUGCCUUCCGAGUUCCCUGGAACGGGACGCCAUAGAGGGUGAGAGCCCCGUCUGGUUGGACACCAAGCCUAUGUAAAGCUCCUUCGACGAGUCGAGUAGUUUGGGAAUGCUGCUCUAAAUGGGAGGUACAUGUCUUCUAAAGCUAAAUACCGGCCAGAGACCGAUAGCGCACAAGUAGAGUGAUCGAAAGAUGAAAAGCACUUUGGAAAGAGAGUUAAACAGCACGUGAAAUUGUUAAAAGGGAAGCGUUUAUGACCAGACGUGGGCCGGUUAAUCAUCCAGCGUUCUCGCUGGUGCACUUUGCCGGUCCAGGCCAGCAUCAGUUCGCUGCGGGGGAUAAAGGCGUCGGGAAUGUGGCUCCUCGGAGUGUUAUAGCCCUUCGCGCAAUACCCUGUGGUGGACUGAGGUUCGCGCACUGCAAG